CAGAUAUAACUUGGAUUUCUAAAUAAGAAAGAGGUAUGCUGAACAAGAUUCAGGUCGUGCUAAGACAUCAACAAUCUAUGCCAACAAGCCUCCACUAUCUAUUGCAGAAAUGAAGAACCGAUUGCUGGUGAUGUUCAGAAUAAUAAGGGAAGUGCCUUAAACCUGAAUAUCAAAUGAAAAGUUGAGCUGCACGUUGGGGUAUCCGUUCAAGUGGUUGAUGGCUAAUGUAUGAUGGAUAAAGAGUAGCGUCUUGGUAUUUAUGGUUGUGAGAAGAAAAGUGAACCUCAAUGCUACCGUACAAUUAAUAGGAUACUAUGUUGCUUCCAGCCCGUGGAUAAGAAUGUUUUAGUCGCUGGGGUCCUAGAGAGAUUGGUGAACAGAUGAAGCUGAUGGGAGAUCUCUGGUCACCUGCAAGUUAAGCUAAUUUAAGAUCAAGUUUGACAGUUACUUAGUUUCAAGUUCAGCAGUACCACAGUAGUUAGUAUUCAAGUUCAGCAGCAAUUUUGUAAUAGUGAUUUCUGAAAUUUUCAUGCUGCUGGUUAGUUACUGCU